AACGAACGCUGGCGGCGUGCCUAACACAUGCAAGUCGAACGAGACCUUCGGGUCUAGUGGCGCACGGGUGCGUAACGCGUGGGAACCUGCCUUUAGGUUCGGAAUAACUCAGAGAAAUUUGAGCUAAUACCGGAUAAUGUCUUCGGACCAAAAGAUUUAUCGCCUUUAGAUGGGCCCGCGUUGGAUUAGCUAGUUGGUGGGGUAAAGGCCUACCAAGGCGACGAUCCAUAGCUGGUCUGAGAGGAUGAUCAGCCACACUGGGACUGAGACACGGCCCAGACUCCUACGGGAGGCAGCAGUGGGGAAUAUUGGACAAUGGGCGCAAGCCUGAUCCAGCAAUACCGCGUGUGUGAAGAAGGCCUCGGGUUGUAAGCACUUUCAGGAGGAGAAGUUUAUGCAGUAAU
rnacentral:rRNA from 1 species